AUUGAACGCUGGCGGAAUGCUUUACACAUGCAAGUCGAACGGCAGCACGGGUGCUUGCACCUGGUGGCGAGUGGCGAACGGGUGAGUAAUGCACCGGAACGUAUCCAAUAAUGGGGGAUAACGCACCGAAAGGUGUGCUAAUACCGCAUACGCCCUGAGGGGGAAAGCGGGGGAUCGUAAGACCUCGCGUUAAUGGAGCGGCCGAUGCCGGAUUAGCUAGUUGGUGAGGUAAAGGCUCACCAAGGCGACGAUCCGUAGCUGGUCUGAGAGGACGACCAGCCACACUGGAACUGAGACACGGUCCAGACUCCUACGGGAGGCAGCAGUGGAGAAUUUUGGACAAUGGGCGCAAGCCUGAUCCAGCCAUUCCGCGUGAGUGAAGAAGGCCUUGG
rnacentral:rRNA from 1 species